rnacentral:rRNA from 1 species
AUUGAACGCUGGCGGCAGGCCUAACACAUGCAAGUCGAGCGGAAGAAGGGAGCUUGCUCCUGGAUUCAGCAGCGGACGGGUGAGUAAUGCGUAGGAAUCUGCCCGGUAGGGGGGGAUAACGUCCGGAAAGGGGCGCUAAUACCGCAUACGACCUGAGGGAGAAAGUGGGGGAUCUUCGGACCGCAGGCUAUCAUGUGAGCCUAGGUCGUAUUCGCUAGUUGGUGGGGUAAGGGCCUACCAAGGCGACGAUCCGUAACUGGUCUGAGAGGAUGAUCAGUCACACUGGAACUGAGACACGGUCCAUACUCCUACGGGAGGCAGCAGUGGGGAAUAUUGGACAAUGGGCGAAAGCCUGAUCCAGCCAUGCCGCGUGUGUGAAGAAGGUCUUCGGAUUGUAAAGCACUUUUAGUUGGGAUGAAGGGCAGUAAGUUAAUACCUUGCUGUUUUGACGUUACCUACAGAAUAAGCACCGGCUAACUUCGUG